CGGACAAACUCGCCAAGGUAUAAAAUGUGAGGUGUUGCUAGUUGUAUGCACAGAAUUCAUUUGACCACGGAAGAACUUGAUCGCUCUUUUCCGCUCCUCAAUCGCAUUUGUUUUCAAUUUCUUCAGUCUCCUUUUACACAUUUCGGCAAAAUGAUGAAAACUAUUUUGGCAAUGGCUGUCCUAGUUGCUGUUCUCAGCAUGGAGAUUUUGGCGGCUAGUUUAAAUUCUCCUCAAGUUCAGGAGGAGACUCCUGCAGAAGAGCGUACGUUUGGCUUGUUAGCUCUGUUCGCGAUCUGGCCUGCCAUCAAAGGUUUCUUCAAAAGUAUUUUUGCUCCCGCAGCCGUUACCUACUAGAGGAAAAAUCAACUUCAACUUGACACACUCGUCUACAUCAUGUUUUCAAUCUGCAUCUGUUUUUUUUCCUUACGAGAUGUAAAUAACGUAUCGCAUAAUCGGAAUCAAGGUCAAUUCAAGGGAAUUUUUUUUUCCCGUAUCCUUCUUUUGAACUGCCAUUCAAUGUGCUGUGCGCAAAUACAAUGAGCGAUAAUUUCCUGACAGUGAUACUUGCAAUAAAAUCUCA